GUGAGCAUGCGUGUCUUGUUUUGCACAGGACAGUUGCUGUGAGUUCACCUGGUCUCACAUAACAGUCACACAGAGGCAGGGGCAGACUGCGGCCUGGAAGAUGUAAACUCAUGGGUGAUCCGACAGCCCUGCACCGGGCAGCUGUUGUGGGAAACCGUGACGCCAUCUGUGCCCUCAUCCGUGGAGGCUGUGCACUUGAUUUACAAGACAAGGAAGGAAACACUGCUUUGCAUGAGGUAUCAUGGCAUGGAUUCAGUUCAUGUGUAAAGCUACUGGUCAAAGCUGGGGCCAAUGUCCAAGUGAAGA